rnacentral:rRNA from 1 species
GAGUGAAAUAGAACCUGAAACCGUGUGCUUACAAGUAGUCAGAGCCCGUUAAUGGGUGAUGGCGUGCCUUUUGUAGAAUGAACCGGCGAGUUACGAUUUGAUGCAAGGUUAAGCAGUAAAUGUGGAGCCGUAGCGAAAGCGAGUCUGAAUAGGGCGUUUAGUAUUUGGUCGUAGACCCGAAACCAGGUGAUCUACCCUUGGUCAGGUUGAAGUUCAGGUAACACUGAAUGGAGGACCGAACCGACUUACGUUGAAAAGUGAGCGGAUGAACUGAGGGUAGCGGAGAAAUUCCAAUCGAACCUGGAGAUAGCUGGUUCUCUCCGAAAUAGCUUUAGGGCUAGCCUCAAGUGAUGAUUAUUGGAGGUAGAGCACUGUUUGGACGAGGGGCCCCUCUCGGGUUACCGAAUUCAGACAAACUCCGAAUGCCAAUUAAUUUAACUUGGGAGUCAGAACAUGGGUGAUAAGGUCCGUGUUCGAAAGGGAAACAGCCCAGACCACCAGCUAAGGUCCCAAAAUAUAUGUUAAGUGGAAAAGGAUGUGGCGUUGCCCAGACAACUAGGAUGUUGGCUUAGAAGCAGCCAUCAUUUAAAGAGUGCGUAAUAGCUCACUAGUCGAGUGACACUGCGCCGAAAAUGUACCGGGGCUAAACAUAUUACCGAAGCUGUGGAUUGUCCUUUGGACAAUGGUAGGAGAGCGUUCUAAGGGCGUUGAAGCAUGAUCGUAAGGACAUGUGGAGCGCUUAGAAGUGAGAAUGCCGGUGUGAGUAGCGAAAGACGGGUGAGAAUCCCGUCCACCGAUUGACUAAGGUUUCCAGAGGAAGGCUCGUCCGCUCUGGGUUAGUCGGGUCCUAAGCUGAGGCCGACAGGCGUAGGCGAUGGAUAACAGGUUGAUAUUCCUGUACCACCUAUAAUCGUUUUAAUCGAUGGGGGGACGCAGUAGGAUAGGCGAAGCGUGCGAUUGGAUUGCACGUCUAAGCAGUAAGGCUGAGUAUUAGGCAAAUCCGGUACUCGUUAAGGCUGAGCUGUGAUGGGGAGAAGACAUUGUGUCUUCGAGUCGUUGAUUUCACACUGCCGAGAAAAGCCUCUAGAUAGAAAAUAGGUGCCCGUACCGCAAACCGACACAGGUAGUCAAGAUGAGAAUUCUAAGGUGAGCGAGCGAACUCUCGUUAAGGAACUCGGCAAAAUGACCCCGUAACUUCGGGAGAAGGGGUGCUCUUUAGGGUUAACGCCCAGAAGAGCCGCAGUGAAUAGGCCCAAGCGACUGUUUAUCAAAAACACAGGUCUCUGCUAAACCGUAAGGUGAUGUAUAGGGGCUGACGCCUGCCCGGUGCUGGAAGGUUAAGAGGAGUGGUUAGCUUCUGCGAAGCUACGAAUCGAAGCCCCAGUAAACGGCGGCCGUAACUAUAACGGUCCUAAGGUAGCGAAAUUCCUUGUCGGGUAAGUUCCGACCCGCACGAAAGGCGUAACGAUUUGGGCACUGUCUCAACGAGAGACUCGGUGAAAUCAUAGUACCUGUGAAGAUGCAGGUUACCCGCGACAGGACGGAAAGACCCCGUGGAGCUUUACUGUAGCCUGAUAUUGAAAUUCGGCACAGCUUGUACAGGAUAGGUAGGAGCCUUUGAAACGUGAGCGCUAGCUUACGUGGAGGCGCUGGUGGGAUACUACCCUAGCUGUGUUGGCUUUCUAACCCGCACCACUUAUCGUGGUG